AACUGAGGACAGGCCUCCUCUGGGCAAGUCACCACGACAAGGGACGUCUGAGAACUGUCGCCGCCAUGAGGGGACACGAUGGCCACAGAUGUUAAAACAACAGCAACAGCCCUCCAAUGCUCCCCAGUCCUCGCGGAAGGAAUGACACCGUCCUAGAAGGCGCAGGUUGGUCCCUGUCCACCUUCUGCCCGGGUGUGGUCUUCACACUCGCCACUCCUCUGCCUGGAUCAAUCCCCCCACCCUGCACCUCUUACCUUUUUUU